rnacentral:rRNA from 1 species
UACGUAGGCAGCGAGCGUUGUUCGGAGUUACUGGGCGUAAAGAGUGCGUAGGCGGUUUUCUAAGUUUGGUGUGAAAUCUCCCGGCUCAACUGGGAGGGUGCGCCGAAGACUGGAAGGCUUGAGUAUGGGAGAGGUAAGCGGAAUUCCUGGUGUAGCGGUGAAAUGCGCAGAUAUCAGGAAGAACACCCGUGGCGAAGGCGGCUCUCUGGAACGCAACUGACGCUGAGACGCGAAAGCGUGGGGAGCAAACAGG